rnacentral:rRNA from 1 species
AACGUACGCUGGCGGCACGCCUAACACAUGCAAGUCGAACGAAGUAGCAAUACUUAGUGGCAGACGGGUGAGUAACAUGUAGGUAUCUGCCCUUUGGCCUGGAAUAACACGAGGAAACUUGUGCUAAUACCGGAUAAGUCUUUACGGAGAAAGCUUUAUGCACCAUUGGAUGAGCCUGCAUUUGAUUAGUUUGUUGGUGGGGUAAUGGCCUACCAAGACUGUGAUCAAUAGCUGAUUUGAGAGGAUGAUCAGCCACAUUGGGACUGAGACACGGCCCAAACUCCUACGGGAGGCAGCAGUGGGGAAUCUUGCACAAUGGAGGAAACUCUGAUGCAGCGAUGCCGCGUGAGUGAAGAAGGCCCUUGGGUUGUAAAGCUCUUUCGUCGGGGAAGAAAAUGACUGUACCCGAAUAAGAAGGUCCGGCUAACUUCGUGCCAGCAGCCGCGGUAAUACGAAGGGACCUAGCGUAGUUCGGAAUUACUGGGCUUAAAGAGUUCGUAGGUGGUUGAAAAAGUUAGUGGUGAAAUCCCAGAGCUUAACUCUGGAACUGCCAUUAAAACUUUUCAGCUAGAGUAUGAUAGAGGAAAGCAGAAUUUCUAGUGUAGAGGUGAAAUUCGUAGAUAUUAGAAAGAAUACCAAUUGCGAAGGCAGCUUUCUGGAUCAUUACUGACACUGAGGAACGAAAGCAUGGGUAGCGAAGAGGAUUAGAUACCCUCGUAGUCCAUGCCGUAAACGAUGUGUGUUAGACGUUGGAAAUUUAUUUUCAGUGUCGCAGGGAAACCGAUAAACACACCGCCUGGGGAGUACGACCGCAAGGUUAAAACUCAAAUGAAUUGACGGGGACCCGCACAAGUAGUGGAGCAUGUGGUUUAAUUCGAAGAUACGCGCAGAACCUUACCAACACUUGACAUGUUCGUCGCGACUCUAAGAGAUUAGAGUUUUCGGUUCGGCCGGACGAAACACAGGUGCUGCAUGGCUGUCGUCAGCUCGUGUCGUGAGAUGUUGGGUUAAGUCCCGCAACGAGCGCAACCCUCACUUUUAGUUGCCAUCAUUAAGUUGGGCACUCUGAAAGAACUGCCAGUGAUAAGCUGGAGGAAGGUGGGGAUGACGUCAGGUCCUCAUGGCCCUUACGUGUUGGGCUACACACGUGCUACAAUGGUAUCUACAACAGGAAGCAAAACUGCGAAGUUAAGCAAAUCCCUAAAAGAUACCUCAGUUCGGAUUGCACUCUGCAACUCGAGUGCAUGAAGCUGGAAUUACUAGUAAUCGUGGAUCAGCGUGCCACGGUGAAUGCGUUCCCGGGUCU